UUGACGGGGCCCGCACAAGCGGUGGAGUAUGUGGUUAAUUCGAUGCAACGCGAAGAACCUUACCUGGUCUUGACAUCCCGGAGACCCUUAGGAAACUAGGGGGUGCUUCCAUCUGGAAGAAUCUGGAGACAGGUGCUGCAUGGCUGUCGUCAGCUCGUGUCGUGAGAUGUUGGGUUAAGUCCCGCAACGAGCGCAACCCUUGCCUUUAGUUGCCAGCAGUUCGGCUGGGCACUCUAAAGGGACUGCCGGUGUUAAACCGGAGGAAGGUGGGGAUGACGUCAAGUCCUCAUGGCCUUUAUGACCAGGGCUACACACGUACUACAAUGGCCGAUACAAAGGGCAGCGACACUGCGAGGUGAAGCCAAUCCCGUAAAAUCGGUCUCAGUCCGGAUUGGAGUCUGCAACUCGACUCCAUGAAGUUGGAAUCGCUAGUAAUCGUGGAUCAGCAUGCCACGGUGAAUACGUUCCCGGGCCUC
rnacentral:rRNA from 1 species